UAUUACUACUACUAUUUGUAAUAAACCUUAAUCGUGUAAUCUAUAAUAAUUGAGGAAUGACGUAGAAUAAAAGUGCUCAAAAAGUUUUAAAUUCAAUAAACAUGAUUAUUUAAAAUUAAAACGUGAGUAUGAAGAAAUUCAUGGAAUGGAACUCAUUAUCGUGGGGUUAAUGAGAAAUCAAAGUUAAAGAUUGGAAGAAAUUGAAGGUGAGAUUCAAUAGAAGAUGGCAUGCUAUUUUACAGAUGAAAGUGUAGGCAAGAUAAGAUUUUGCGGGAUUACAUUGAUUGGUUCAGAUAUUGAUAAAAUCCAAUCUAAUGAUUGAGAUAGUUUAUCCAGAUAUCAUAUCUUUAAUAUGACAGGUUAAGAUUUGUGGGGUUGUAUUGAUUGGUUCAGAUCUUAAUGAAAUCUAAUCUAACCGAUGAAAUGAAUAUAUGAAUUUCGAUAAUUAAAUUAUGACACUAGGUCGAUUUUGUUGUAUCAUAAUUUUGGGAUUCGGAAUGUACUACGUUGAAUUUCAUAACAUGAUUUAAUAUUUUCUUAGUUGUGGUACUUUUAUUAAUUGUACUAU
rnacentral:lncRNA from 1 species